rnacentral:lncRNA from 1 species
GGAUAUUCAAGAGUUAUUUUCGAGGGUGAUUGUGAAGUCCUUAUUAAUAACUUAACGGGUAGAACAAAAACCAGCUCGGUUAUGAACUUCCUCAAAGACGUCAACUAUUGGUCAUCAAUGUUCAAGGAGAUUCAAUUUACUUUUAUCACAAGGUCAUGUAAUGAAGCAGCUCAUGUGCUUGCCAGAUUUGGAUGUAAUACUUGUAAUUUUUAUUCAGCUACUAUGAACCCACCACCAUGGUUGGAACAAAAACUCUGUACUGAUUAUCAAAGUUCAAUAUAAAUUAAUUUCGAC